UGGGGAAUUUUGGGCAAUGGGCGCAAGCCUGAUCCAGCAAUGCCGCGUGCAGGAUGAAGGCCUUCGGGUUGUAAACUGCUUUUGUACGGAGCGAAAAGGUCUGCCCUAAUACGGUGGGCUCAUGACGGUACCGUAAGAAUAAGCACCGGCUAACUACGUGCCAGCAGCCGCGGUAAUACGUAGGGUGCGAGCGUUAAUCGGAAUUACUGGGCGUAAAGCGUGCGCAGGCGGUUAUAUAAGACAGAGGUGAAAUCCCCGGGCUCAACCUGGGAACUGCCUUUGUGACUGCAUAGCUAGAGUACGGUAGAGGGGGAUGGAAUUCCGCGUGUAGCAGUGAAAUGCGUAGAUAUGCGGAGGAACACCGAUGGCGAAGGCAAUCCCCUGGACCUGUACUGACGCUCAUGCACGAAAGCGAGGGGAGCAAACA
rnacentral:rRNA from 1 species